GGUAACUCAAUGCCUAUUAUUAUUAAAGUUUAAUAAUUUGAAUUUUGAAUACAGUUAGAUUAACAAUUUAAUUUCAAUGUGGUUAAGUAUUAGAUAAAUAAUGUUGGAAAAGAUUAGGCGCUUUACUUAGCAUUGAUGAAUUAAUAAGGCAAAUCAGUAAUUACAUUUAAAUUAUAAGUAACAGGUUUGAAGUCAAUGUGAUGGCUUAAACGAAAAUAUAAUAGUUACAUUUUAAAUCACACUAUUCUUGAAGUUGUAUAUUCUCAUUUUUGUAGCAACCAAUUCGAAAUAAACUAGUUGAUAUAUUGACCUUCAAAGCGGGAACCUAGUUGUAGAGAUAGUUGUGUAACAAAUCUUCAAAAUCUAUAGAGUAAUAGUACCUCUUCCUUGUUAAAUUUACUGAAUAAUAUUACAAUUAAGAAUUAAAUUAAUAUGAAUGUAGUAAUAGGUGUUUUAGAAAACUAAAGACUGUAUUAGGCACCACCAAAGGUUGUGAUAGGGUGGUAAGUACCCCUAUAUUCUAAACUAAAGCUUUCGAAUUCAAGCCCUGAGAUUUGGUUGGAGGCACUUUACUCCUCAAAAUAGGAUUUACCUGCACAAAUUCGUAUUAGUCGGGCCCAGAGGCAGUGCCAUUUGUUUGAGCUCAAAGAGGAGACGAACAUUGAGCAACCCGUCAUAUAUAUUUUGUAUGUAUCCGGAUGGUCGGAGAAAAAGUUGAUGAGUGCACAAGUAGUGUUGUAUCUAGACAGAUUUGAGAGCAUGGGAAUCACUUCUCUGUUAGUCAUUGGUCUGACUAAUUUGGAUUCGUGUUGGAUAGAGUUACUAAAGGGGUAAAGCGCUUUCUCCAAAAGGUUCUCUUGCAUUCACAACUCUCCGACCCAAAAUAUUUGGAAAGCGCUACCAUAUGAGUGAGGAGGUUUGAAAGAUGAUGAACUAUCCUGCUCUGCCACAAACAUCAUCUCCUCCUCCAUCAUUACCACCACCUCCUCCUCUACCACCUCCUCCUCUAUCGUCACCACCAUCACUUUCGCGGACUCUUUCUCCAUCUUCUUCGCUUCACUUUCUAUCAAAAUUAAAGUGUUCUUUAAUCAGCUCCUUCAGACUACAUUUUAGAAUUAUUAGUGUCUAUUACUUGUAGCAUCAUAUAUUCAAACAUGGAUUUUCCUAUAUUGUCUUGCUCUAUCCACAAACAUCUUUUUAA